rnacentral:rRNA from 1 species
CCUACGGGUGGCAGCAGUGAGGAAUAUUGGUCAAUGGCCGGAAGGCUGAACCAGCCAAGCCGCGUGAAGGACGAAGGUGCCAAGCAUUGGAAACUUCUUUUGUCAAGGGACAAAAUCAGGCGCGAGAGCCUGACCGAGGGUACUUGAAGAAAAAGCAUCGGCUAACUCCGUGCCAGCAGCAGCGGUAAUACGGAGGAUGCUAGCGUUAUCCGGAUUGAUUGGGUUUAAAGGGUGGGUAGGCGGUCCGUUAAGUGAGCGGUAAAAUUGCGGGGCUCAACCCCGUCGAGCCGUUGAAACUGGCCGACUUGAGUUGGCGAGAAGUACGCGGAAUGCGGGGUGUAGCGGUGAAAUGCAUAGAUCGCGCGCAGAACUCCGAUUGCGAAGGCAGCGUACCGGCGCCAGACUGACGCUGAGGCACGAAAGCGUGGGGAUCGAACAGGAUUAGAUACCCGGGUAGUC